rnacentral:rRNA from 1 species
AGAUUGAACGCUAGCGGGAUGCUUUACACAUGCAAGUCGAACGGCAGCGCGGACUUCGGUCUGGCGGCGAGUGGCGAACGGGUGAGUAAUAUAUCGGAACGUGCCCAGUAGCGGGGGAUAACUACGCGAAAGCGUGGCUAAUACCGCAUACGCCCUACGGGGGAAAGGGGGGGAUCGCAAGACCUCUCACUAUUGGAGCGGCCGAUAUCAGAUUAGCUAGUUGGUGAGGUAAAGGCUCACCAAGGCGACGAUCUGUAGCUGGUUUGAGAGGACGACCAGCCACACUGGGACUGAGACACGGCCCAGACUCCUACGGGAGGCAGCAGUGGGGAAUUUUGGACAAGUGGGGGAAACCCUGAUCAGCCAUCCCGCGUGUGCGAUGAAGG